rnacentral:rRNA from 1 species
UAGUUGGCGGUGUAACGGACCACCAAGACGACGAUGCGUAGGGGUUCUGAGAGGAAGGUCCCCCACACUGGUACUGAGACACGGACCAGACUCCUACGGAAGGCAGCAG